CAGUGGAGAUCAUGAUCUGUGUAUCCCUUUCACUGGAACGGAGGCAUGGGUCAGAUCAUUAGGCUACCGAGUUGUCGAUUCAUGGCAACCAUGGCACUUUGGGGGUCAAGUUGCUGGAUAUACACAAGGCUAUGAUCACAAUCUCACCUUCCUCACCAUAAAGGGAUCUGGACACACUGUUCCUGAGUACAAGCCCAAAGAAUCGCUGGCAUUCUACGCCCACUGGCUGUUUGGACAAAAGAUCUAAAAUUGAUCUAAAUGAAACAAUCAAAUUUUGUAGACAUGUAUCUUACUCCCUCCGUCUCAAAAUAAGUGUUCUCAAGUUUAGUACAACUUUGUAUUAAAGUUAGCAAAAAUGCUAGACAUACAAAGACUUACACGCUUUUACACGCUCCUUCCAUCUAACAACCAAUCACAAACCUCUCCCCCCUGAUUUUCAGGGGGUGGGCCGCCCCGCUCACCUAUUGACCAAUCAAGGUUAACCAUCCUGUAAAAGCCUGUAAAUCGUUUGUACGUGUAGC